UCAAACUUGGUCAUUUAGAGGAAGUAAAAGUCGUAACAAGGUUUCCGUAGGUGAACCUGCGGAAGGAUCAUUAUUGAAAUAAACUUGAUGAUGGAUUGUUGCUGGCUCUACUAGAGUAUGUGCACAUCUGUCAUUUUUAUCUUUCCUCCAUGUGCACAAUGCAUAGACCUGAAUUUUUUGUUGAUCGAAGUUUUAUUCGGUCUUUGGAAACUGCUGUUACAAGCUGUUUCUGUAUUCAGGUUCUGUGAAUUUUAUAUAUACUCCAACGUAUGUUAAUGAACGUCAAAAGGGCUUGUAAAGCUCAUAAAUCUAUAAUACAACUUUCAGCAACGGAUCUCUUGGCUCUCGCAUCGAUGAAGAACGCAGC
rnacentral:misc_RNA from 1 species